CUUGGAGCAUCAUAAAUGGGUUUUCCCAGGUACACCUAUACUCCGGUAACAUAUUCCUCCACAUAUGACCAGGGUAUAUGUGUUCCUGGUAUAUAUCUGUUUGUACUAAUUCUCUG
rnacentral:precursor_RNA from 15 species